rnacentral:lncRNA from 1 species
AAAAUAUAAAAUUGGUUAAUCACACAAUACUCUUAAAUAAAAAAAUAAUAUUUUUUAUAUAUUUUUAUAAAAUAAUAUUUUAUUAUUAUAAUAUUUUACUGUUCACCGUAUUGGUGAACAAUAAAAUAUGGUGUAGUAUAUGUUUUGGUGUAUGAAUAAUAUUUUUCUAUUAUUUAUAACUACUCAUUUGACACAAUAAAAAAGAAAAAAACUAAUUAAAAAAGAAAUAUAUAUCUAUAGUGUAUAACAUAAGGUGUUGGACAUCUAAAAUGGUGUCAAAAU